GCCCCUGGUGGGUGACGCUGGGCCGGGACGCAGCUCCGCUUGGCCGCGAGCGCCGGCUUGGGGACGCAGCGUGGCGGGCCGGGCCAGCCUCCCGGCUGCGGCUCACUGAAGCUGUCUGCCCCAGGCCUGUUACCCUCUCUAGGCGAAGGUCACCGCAGCCUUAACGGGAGGAGGGGACCUGAGCGAGGGGGCCCAGGAGGGACCAGGACGCAGGGUGGACAGGGGGCCUCUCGGGACGUCACAGGGAUGUGUGGGCAUGGGGACCCAGCUGGGGACUUCCGUGACACGGCGGAAGACGCGGUGCUCAGGUGACGACGCCCUGAACUAAAGCCCGCAAUUCUGAAGACCACAGUUGGAGUGUGAGGGCCAGAUCUUUUGGUUUCAGGAGCUCAACACGGGGAGGCCGUGGUUGUUGUCGUUAUCUGCGGUAGAGUUGAUUCCGACUCAUGGCGACCCCACGUGUUACCGAGUAGAACUGCCUCCAGUGGUUUUCUUGGCUGUGAGCUUUAUGAGCACAGAUCACCAGGCCUUUCCUCCACAGAGUUUCUGGGUAGGUUCAAACCGCCAACCUUUUGGAUAGCAGCUGAGCACUUAACCUUUGGCUCACCAGGGCUCCUUGUAGGGGAGAUGAGGCCUCUUAAUUCACACAGCUGCUGGCAGGGUUAGGCUGUCAGCUGGGGACCCUCUUCUGGCAUCUAGGAAAUGAGCUUAGCUGGGGUGUGGGGAGAAUGGAAGAGUCCUUGGUGGUGCAGACAUUAAGCACUUGACUACUAACUGAAAAGUUAGAGGUUCAAAUCCACCCAGAGGCACCUCAGAAGAAAGGCCCGUGAUCUGCUUCUGAAAGUCACAGCCUUGAAAACCCUACAGAGCACAGCUCUACUCUGACCCACAUGGGGCUGCAAUGGGUCGGAGUCAACUUGAUGGCAACAGAUUUAUUUAUUUAUUUUUUUGUGGGGACAGAAACCCGUCCUGGUCACUGGUCUCUUACCCAGCAGCCAGCCAAGCUCAGGGACUGACCACUCUGGGGCUGCAGGGUUGGAAGGGCAGUCAUAGCCCUUCCUUCUGGGCGGUGGUCAGUGGCUUGGAUUUUUACUGUGUUUGCUCAUGCCUGACAGUGACAGGCAGUAGGAAGCUCUUGGAGAAUCUUCUAGAAGCUCAGCUCUGGGAUGCAGUGGAAGCAGCCCUCAUGGAGGGCACGUGUCAGUGGGCAGGCACACACACACACACACACACACAGCUCAAGAUUGAAUGGCGCCAGGGGUAGGUUUUAUGAGGGCAAGCCCCUUGCUGUGCUGAGUUCCACAGGGGGGCCCUCCCAGGUUUGCAAUGUUGGCCCACUUUCUACAGGAGGAGACUAGUGGUGCAGUGCUUAAAGUGCUUGGUUGCUAACUGAAAGGUGGGCAGUUCGAACCCACCAGCUGCUCUGUAGGAGAAAGAUGUGGCAGUCAGCUUCCAUAAAGAUUACAGCCUUGAAAACCCUAUGGGGCAGUUCUUCUUUGUCAUUAUAGCAUUGCUCUGAGUUGAAAUCGACUUGAUGGUUUCAUUUUGGUUUUGACCUUUUGCUUUGGCCAAGGAAACCUGACUUUUCUUAAAUACUGCAAAGGAAGAGGGGACAGUCCCCUGCUGGGGGAGGCCCUGAAGCAGAGGCUGGGGGUCAUCAGUGGGGCCCAAGGACACGGAUGCGAGCUGAAGUGGGGGGCCUCCUGCAGUCGCUUUGUUUAUCUGACCCAGUUGCUGCCUGCAGCUCUCCUGAACCUCUGUGCCUCCAGUCCUGGCUUGGACUGUCGGGGGCUGAGGCUCCAGAAGGGUCUGAGAACCGCACCCCAAGUGUCCUAGUUGCCAGCCUGGAUUCCUGGUGUGCCCAGCUGCCUCUUGCCCUGGUCCGGGUGCAUGGUGGUUGCCAGGCAACUGGAAGGGGAAGGAAAAGGGCUUUCCUGGGGUGCUUGGCAAAGCCUCUGGCCUGACAUUCAGGGAACUGACCUAGGGACUGUCACCAUGCAGCCAGCCCUUCUGCCUCCGUAGGCUGACCGGCAGCCUCUGGGUUGCCGAAUGUGGCUGCAGCGAUGGCCUGGGCUUGAGCUAUGGGCAGGCAGUUCUGCAGCAACACCUCCUUGGAGGCCCUGGGAGUGCUGGCUGUGACCUCGGCCGCAUGCCUCGGGCUUCUGCUAUGGCUGGGUGUGUGAGGGCAGGGCUGGCUGGACGGCCCCCUGCUGGACACGGUGAGGGCUUGAUGCUGGCCCUGCCGGCCUGGGGCAAAGGUGGCUUGGGGAGGGAGGGUGCUGGGCCUUGAGGAGAGGCUCUCUCUUAACAGCUGCUGGACUCUGCUCAACCCUUCCAUGCAGAGCUGUUGAGCCACUUCGUGUGCCAGUCUUGUGCUGGGCCCAGGGGUGACGGGAGUUAAGUGUACAGGUAUGUCCCAGCCAUCAAAGACACUGUGAUGAGGAGCCCCUGGGUGGUGCAAAUGGUUAACCACGGGACUAUUAACUGAAAGGUUGGCAGUUCAAACCCACCCAGAGGCUCCUUGGAAGUAAGGCCUGGUGAUCUGCUUCCGAAAGGUCGCAACCUUUUAAACCCUAUGGUGCGCAGUUCUGCUCUGCCCAUAUGGGAUCACCAUGAGUCGGAAUUACCUGGAGGGCAACUAACAACAACUCUAGUUAAAAGGAGUCCUGGUAAUUUCAUAGAAGCCAGGUGGGAUUAAAAAAAAAAAAAAGAUACUGUGGUGUCCUGAAUCAUCGAACACCUGUUUGAGGCCAAAUGACUGGGGACAAAGAGGCAGAUCAUGCAUGUGCCACGCCCCACGUGGGGUUCAAAUCUGGGUGGGCCGUGUUCACUGGACGCUGCCAUGCUGCCUGAUCAGUGUUACAGCAGGAAUAUGUGUUGGUGAAUUUUAAGUGACAGCUUGGCUAGGCUAUGGUGCCCAGUUGGUUGGCCAAACACUAGUUGAUGUCAUGGAGAAGGUACAUAUGAUUGAUAUCAUUUGGCCUUCAGUAAAGCAGAUUAGCUUCCGUAAUGUAAUCUAAGGCUGUUAGCUGCUGUCUAGUUGGCCCCUGACUCAUGGCAACCCCACACGCAGUGAAGCAAAACACCGUCCAAUCCUGCACCAUCCCCACAGCUGGUCCCAGAUCAGACUGUUGGGACCCGUGGGGUUUUCAUGGGCUGAUUUUCAGAAGUAGAUCACCAGGCCUUUCUUUCUCAUCCAUCUUAGUCCGGAAGCUCCACUGAAACCCGUUCAGCCUCCUAGCAACAAGCAAGCCUCCACUGACAGAAGUAGAUCACCAGGCCCUUCUUCCGAGGCACCUCUGCAUGGACUGGAAUCCCUCCAACCUUUCCAUUAACAGCUAAAAGUACAGCCACAAUAUUCCUUAGAAGCGAGGAUGGCAAGACUUCAUCUCACUUUGGACACGUUUUCAGGAGGGAAAGGACCAGUCCCUGGAGAAGGAUAUCAUGCCUGGUAAAGUAGAGACUCCUGCAGCUGCCACCUCUGCAGAGCUCAAGUCAUGGACACCCCCACUGAGCCGCCACAUGUGGGAAGCAAACAGGUUCUCCUGGGGCCCGAGGCGUGUGAGGAGUGUUUGCCUCACCCCCCUGCGAAAGGGACCCCGGUGUGGGCGGUCUGGCCCAGUAGGGCAGGGGCGGAAGUGCAGAGCUGGGUGGGGGUGGGUGCCCACGUGCCUGUCUGCCAGAAUGUAAUAAACAAACAUGUAAUAAACAAACGAGGCUUGUGUCUGACUUCAGCUGUCCUUGAGAGAAGGGUUUGGCUGCUUGCCACCAGGCCAGCUAACCUUUGACACCAUCUGUGUGCCAGGCCACAUGCUGGGUGUGGGGGAUCCAAACGUGGAGAAGAUGAGGCACCUUUCCUCAAGGGGAGGAAGGGGUCAGUUGAUGUGGUCACUUGCCACCCGUGGGGAGAGACAGGCUCACAGUUGCUGACACCUCACUGAGGGCCAGAAGUCCCCGGGUGGUGCAAACGGUUAACGAGGUCAGCUGCUAACCAAAAGGUUGGAAGUUUGAGCCCUCAUAGAGGUGCCUCAGAAGAAAGGCCUGGUGAUCUACUUCCUAAAGAUCAGCCAUUGAAAACCCCACCAUGGAACACAGUUCUACUCUGACACACAUCUCCAUCCAGUCAGGGCCUGACAGCCUGCCUUCUGGGGCGGGGGGCACUCAGUAGUGCAGUCUUAACUGACUGCAACGGCCUCGGGUGAUCUGCCGAUCUGUCCCCGUAAAGAUUACAGCCUAGGAGAUCCUAUGGGGCAGGUCUACUCUCACACAGGGUCGCUGUGAGCAACUCCGCAGCACUCAACAACAGUCACACGGUCAGACUCCAAACCCAUUUCCAUGCUGGGUAAGUACGGCCUGCAGGGUCCUUCGGACUCACCAUCCCUAGGAAG